UACGAAGGGGGCUAGCGUUGUUCGGAAUUACUGGGCGUAAAGCGUGCGCAGGCGGUUCGUUAAGUUCGUUGUGAAAGCCCCGGGCUCAACCUGGGAACUGCAAUGGAAACUGGCGGGCUUGAGUGUGGCAGAGGGGGGUGGAAUUCCGCGUGUAGCAGUGAAAUGCGUAGAGAUGCGGAGGAACACCGAUGGCGAAGGCAGCCCCCUGGGCCAACACUGACGCUCAGGCACGAAAGCGUGGGGAGCGAUCCGG
rnacentral:rRNA from 1 species